UCUAUUAAAGGAAGAUAGCCCUCCAUUGGUCUUAGGCGCCAAGAGUCUUGGUGCAAAUCCAAGUAAUAGAA
rnacentral:tRNA from 1 species